CAAAAAGGAAGAAAAAAACAACAAUAAACGACUUCAUCUUUCUCUCUCUCUCUCUCUUUCUCUUUUUUCUUCCUCUUUCCCUCUCUCCUUUUUA
rnacentral:ribozyme from 13 species